rnacentral:misc_RNA from 1 species
GAUGAAGAACGCAGCGAAAUGCGAUAAGUAAUGUGAAUUGCAGAAUUCAGUGAAUCAUCGAAUCUUUGAACGCACAUUGCGCCCGCCAGUAUUCUGGCGGGCAUGCCUGUCCGAGCGUCAUUUCAACCCUCGGGACCCUUCGGGGAACCGGUGUUGGGGACCCGUCCGCCGACCCACGGCGGCCGGCCCCGAAAUACAGUGGCGGCCCUGCGGCGACCUCCUCUGCGUAGUAGCGAUACCUCGCAGCUGGAAAGCGGCAGCGGCCACGCCGUAAAACCCCCAAUUUUCAAUUGUUGACCUCGGAUCAGGUGGGAAUACCCGCUGAACUUAAGCAUAUCAAUAAGCGGAGGA